AAAGUGGGUAGAAAGUUAACGUUUUCCAAUUCUAUGUUUAGUCGUGUAAAAUUAACAAAUCCCUUCACUAAAACCCACAAAAAAUCAACUUCAGGGGCUAAAUUUGACUUGGGUGCAAAUCCAAAGCAUCUCUCACAAGCCAAUGCUUUUAUACAGGUAUAAGUGAAGUCUAAUUUUGACUCCUUUUGGAGUCACGACCUUGUAUCCAUAGAGAUGGAAGCGGAACUGGGACUUUAUCCUUUUAAUAGCAAAGCUUUUUUAUUUGCUACUAAGCAUGCAAGCUACCUGUGGGUGUCUUAACGUGGGGGGGGCAGUGUGCAGGGGAAGAAAAAAAAUGGAUUGAGGGGAGUCUGAAUUUGGAAAGCAAGUUCUAGCAAAUAUAAGAAAGCAUUUCUACCAAAUGCUGUCAUCAAUGACCUUUUUUAAAAAAAUAAAUAAAUGAAACUGGUAGCAUCUGGAGUACCCUGAUGCAUGGGGUCCCGCUGCUUGCUUCCUCAAGCAGUUCUGUUUGCUGCCUGUAGUUCUCCUCUUUGUUUGAACUCUGUGAGCUGUGCUGGUGAAACAAAACGUGGCACAGGGUAGUCAAAGCUGAGAUGUUUCUUCCUCCCAGACGUUAGUCAGUCUGGACCUUUGCUCUGUGGCACAUUGAGAUUCCUGCUGGAAAAUCGGUACAAAUCCAGAUUGGGAGCAGUCUCUCUUAAAAGAGCAGCCUGUGGUUCCCCCCAUCACCCACAAAAGCACAUAGGAGUAUUGUAUCUUCCUUAUGUUCUUCCUGGUGAUCCUCCAAGAUGUUUGGUGUUUUAUGUAGACCCUUGUUCAGAGUGGGGAUUUAAAAGCUGCAGUUUGGAUAGAAAGAUUUUUACUUGCCAUUAAACGUAGCAUAUAUUUUGAACUGGCCUAUUGGCCCUUAUGAGUUAAAUAGCUGCUAGAUAAUAGUUAGAAAAACCUGUGAAAGAAUGUCUGCCUUUCAGUUGUCUUCUUCCCUCAGAUAUUUUUGAUCUAGUUCUGUUUUCAUCCCAGUAAUCUAGGAUUUUUGCAUAAAGAACAGAAGCUUCAGCAGUAACAAUUGUGCUGGAAACAUUCUUGGUCUGAUGGGUAGUGCCAAAAAGCUACUGCUGGAAGUCUUGAAGGGAAUUGAUUUAAAUGAUUUACACACAAUCUCCUGCAUUUAUUUAUUUUUUGUACUUCACAUAAGCACUGAAGAAAAUUUCUUAUGAGUAUAAGGUACAUACAAUAGCAUAUUCCUUGCUUACGUGUAAAUGUGUUGGAUAUUCAGUGCGCUGGGUGGUCUGAGGAAUAGGAGGAGUACAUGAGACAGCGCAGAAGACCCAGCACUUGCUUGCAAGAGCAUAUGGUGUUUCUGGUCUCUGGGACACGUAUCCGUGUCCCUACUAUUAGAGCUACAGAAUGCAGCAAGCCGUUCAGCAUAUGCUGGUGCUUUUGAAGUCUUCCAGUGGUUAGAGAUGGUACAGUCAGCUAUAGAAAGCAUAAUCCUCUCUCUGCCUCAUAAAGAGAGGGAGAUUCUUUAUGCUUAGGGAGCUUUAAAUCUUUCGUUUCAAGUGGUACCUGCUCUGUCACCUGUGUGCGUGCAGCAACUGGACCCAUAGAGAACGUACAGAGUAAAAUAUUUGGUGUUUCGGAAAUCGCGAUAAGACAUGGAUGAGGUCUUCAAGCUUCAAAGUUGCAUAAUUGUUGCCCAUAGCCUGUCAAUUACAACAGAACAACUGACAAAUGAGAAAGCUUUUAACAGUGUUUGCAUAGUGGGGGAACCAAACAGACCAAUUUUGCAAUUUGUGACUGCUUAAUUAUGUGUUCGAAGGCCAGGUCCGCUGCAGAUAGCAAUACAGGCUUCAUUAUGUCCCACGGUGAAAGGUUUAAAAGUCUUUUAAAAGGUUUUAUAGCAUCAAAAGUGCACGUAAUAUUUUGUUUAUCGCUGGACACAAUAAAUUACAUUCUGCUCUGUCAUCAGCUGGCCCUUAUCCCGCAGAAG